CUCUUAUUUUCAUGCUUACCACCAUUGUCAUGAAAACCAACAAUGGUUUUUGAGCUCUCAGAUGUUGGUCAUCUUGGUCAAUGAUUGGAACCAAGCUAAAUAGACUUUGUGAUUUUUCUUGGUCAAGAUGGAAGGUGGGGAAAUUUUGGAAAGAACCAAGAUAACUUGAAAUCUUGGUCAAUACACAGUAACCAAGAUAUACUGAGAUCUUAGGGGGUACUUGGUUGGGGGGAAUGGAGGUUCGGAAUAGGAAUUGGAAUGGGUGACUCCCAUGCCCCCCGCUUGGUUGGAGGGAGUCCCAUUCUAAUUUCGAUUCCGGGGUGGAAUGGGAAUGGUCCAAUUUACCUAAAACUCAAUCCCCAUUUUCCCCUAUAGAUUCAAAUUUUCAUUCCGAUUCCGAUUCUGGUCAUGAACCAAACGCUUUAGUAGAUUUGAUCAUUUCGAUUCUCAUUCCAAUCCAUUCCGAAUCCGAUUCCGAAUCCGAUUCCGGUCGCGAACCAAGCACCCCCUUAAUGUUUAUUUAUUAAAAGACUCAUUUGAGAUAUUAAAAAGAGGGAUCGGAAUUUCAAAGAUAUAGGUAGUCUGGCCUUUGCCCUCAACUUUUUUGUUUUUUUUUUUUUUUGACGUUGAAAACUUCUGUGUGUGUCGAAUUUUGAAAAUAACACAAAAUUUGUCAUAUUUGAAUAACAAAUGACAAGACGGUUGUGUGUUUUCUCACAGUUGUUAUCCUCAAUAGAGAACUGUUGAAUGAAUAUUUUGAUCUUCUUAAUAAAGUUCUGAAUACAAAGUAUUAGUGGUGUGAUUUCUUUGAGAUGGCUGUGUACUGUGACUGCCACUUUGAAAAUGCUGUGGGCUCUCACCUUUCCUGAGCAAGGAAUUUUGUUCAAAAGCACUAUUCCAGUUUCCCAGGGAUCUUAACCUAAGAAUUGACAUAGCAAAGAUAAUGAGCGUACUCCCUAUGGCUUUAGUCUUACAUUGUCCAUUCUUAUUCUUGCUUGUGUGGUGUUUCUUGUAAUUAGGCCUAGAAAUUAAGCAUUUUGGGCUUAAUUACCUUGGGUGACAUGAAUGGUGCAACUUCUGAGCAAUGGAUUAAAGCUAUGAACUAGGCUCGAUGGGUCAUCCGAGUAUCAAAUAAAAGAGAUAGAUGACAACCUGGUUGAGCUGACUAUGUACUUGAUACACACCAUUUCUUUUCUCUUAUUCUCUUUGUAUUCAUACUUCUAUACAAGGGCUCAAGUCCUAGAGGGACAUUCCCUAAGACAUCGAGAUGGGGUACCAUUUUGAGUGUCGGGAUAGGACCGUUCGACCAUUGUCCCAGUGCACGUCUUGGGACAUCCCAUGUCCCCAUUGUUGGGAUAGGGCGGCCAGUAGCAAAUUUUGUUCCAUGGGAAAACUGGGACAGUCCCGUCCCAUAGGAUUAAAAACCUUUCUUCUAUGUUCUUUGACCUAUGGAACACUCCUUUAAGAUUGCUUUUGUAGCAUGUUUUUUGGGUAUGAUGGCAAACUCAUGUUAGAUCAAUCUUUCCUGAAGAAUCUGCAAUGCUAAAUCUGUUAUUCUUUGAGACCUCAAGUUGCAAGAUGGUGUAGAGCCAACCAAAUUCAUCUGUCUGAAAUUGAUAAUGGAUCAUUACUUUAUUUUUUUCUUUUAAAAAAGGCAAAUACCACCUUUUAGGCCAAAUCAUUCUUAGCGGCAGACUCCAAUUCUAUUUGAAGAGUGGGAUAAAUGGUAUUUGGAUCUUACUUUUUUUUUCUUGGUAAUUGCAUUUGAGAAUCUUAUUAGAAAUGGUAUUCUGGACAACUUCACUUGAUAUAGUGCUUUAAAUUGCUAAACUUUUUAUUUCUUGGCAUUUCCAUCAAGUGAUUUAAGUUAUGGGUGGGUGGAAGCAAAUUCAAUUGCUUACUGCUUUGUAGUUAGUUUGUAUCACCAUAUUCUCAUGUUUGAAAAUUUUAGGAAGCAAAUGGAGGGUUGUUGAUAUGUGUUCUAUUUUGUCCUCCUUGAGAUCCCUUCAACAUGUAUGCUAAAAGUUGUCAUUACUUUUUUUGGGUGUAUGAGUUCGGAGAUUGAUUACAUGUGUUUCUUUGGUACUUAUCAGUAAAAGUUAGCCUUUCUUCUUUAAUUACAGCCGACUUUAUGCAAUUAGAGUUUAGUUCAAAUAGUAAAAGUCAGCUACUGGUCUGAGCAAUUUUGACUUAUCUAAAGAAUCUCUGGAUCCCAUUCUUCUUAUUAAGUGGUGGACGGUCCGUCAACCAACUUCCUUAUAUGCUGCCCAUUCAAUGUCCACUUCUUUCUUACCCGGUUUCUCAAUUCAUUUACUCAAUAUCUUAACCUACUCAUUUCUUUUUAUCAGAUGUAAAAAAAAUUACCAAAAAAAUUUCUGCUCUAUAGUUUUCAUGCCUAGUAGGACCAUUGAUGUUCAUAUUUCAGAAAGCCACAUCAUCAUCUUGACACUCUCAUUUGCAUUUAAGAUCCGACUAUGCACUGAUUACAUCACUUAAGAAUUUUUUCUUUCUAGUUUGACUAUCAUGUUUUAUAUUGAAUACAGACAGUUUCUUGAUUCAGGUCCUUAUGCAUUUUUUUAGCUUCAAUUGUUUCGUAUAUUUGUAGACAUUAUAAAUUUUAUGCUAUGUUGAGUCUAAAGUAGCAUGUUGUGCUUCACACACUUGCAAUUUUUGAUAAUAAGCAAAGUUGUAACCUACAUAUUUAUUAAAUUGCUUUAUUUUAACUUCUAUGCUAAGGUUAAACAUUCUUAUGCCUUUUCAUUUUUCCAUUCAUUUUUUAACUUAUGAGCUUGUCUACAUUUUAGGGAACAUUGCAAUCUUAUGAUCAAGUUUUUUGGCGUUGUGAAGAACUAACCUCCCUAAGAAAGUUUCAAAGUACAGUUCAAACUCGCUGGACACUGCUACAUAGCUCAACAUUGAGAGCUCAUCAUUGAAUUGGCAAGUCACUUUCAUGAAGAAGCGUGAAGUACAUUGUCUUCUUGCCACAAAAUAUGAGUUGCUGGAUCAAGCGUUUGAUUAUACCAGGUUUUCACCUCCAAGUCUGCUGGGAUCAUGAUCAUGCCUUGAGUACAGAAAAUACUGAAACAGAGUCCGGUCAAAUGGAUCCUUAAGAAAUAUUAUUGAUACGAACGAUAUAUAUGUGAGCUGUGCUGAUGGCCAAGUGAGAUGGACUAAUGGUUUUUUUUUUUGGUGAGAAUAAUGGCGGGGAUGUCAGCAUGAGUUUUCAAACUCAGAACCUUGCCUGCGCUAACUAGAGGGUGACAGCACUAAAGUUCUGUCAACAGUGUGUUAGCAAAUUCCAUCGUCCCAAUAUAGUCUAAAAGGCUCUAAAUGCAUUUUGUGCACUGUUGCAAGUUCUAGUUUUAAGACGAUUAGUCCAUCAGCACUAUAUUAUCAAACACUUGUUCGUAUGAUAUUACCUCUUGUCCUUUGAGGAGUGUGU